GACGAACGCUGGCGGUGCGCCUAACACAUGCAAGUCGAACGGUGAAGCGGGCUUCGGCCCGUGGAUCAGUGGCGAACGGGUGCGUAACACGUGGGCAACCUGCCCCUCACACUGGGAUAACUCCGGGAAACCGGGGCUAAUACCGGAUACUCCGGCCGACCCGCAUGGGUCAGCCGGGAAAGGUCCGCCGGUGAGGGAUGGGCCCGCGGCCUAUCAGCUUGUUGGUGGGGUAACGGCCUACCAAGGCGACGACGGGUAGCUGGUCUGAGAGGACGACCAGCCACACUGGGACUGAGAUAUGGCCCAGACUCCUACGGGAGGCAGCAGUGGGGGAUCUUGCGCAAUGGGCGAAAGCCUGACGCAGCGACACCGCGUGAGGGACGACGGCCUCGGGUUGUAAACCUCUUUCGGCAGGGACGAAGCGAUCGUGACGGUACCUGCAGAAGAAGCUCCGGCUAACUACGUGCCAGCCGCCGCCGUAAUAC
rnacentral:rRNA from 1 species